rnacentral:rRNA from 1 species
UACAGAGGUCUCAAGCGUUGUUCGGAUUCAUUGGGCGUAAAGGGCGCGUAGGCUGCGGGGCAAGUCGGGUGUGAAAUCUCAGAGCUCAACUCUGAAACUGCACUCGAUACUGCUUUGCUUGAGGACUGGGGAGGAGAUUGGAAUUCACGGUGUAGCAGUGAAAUGCGUAGAUAUCGUGAGGAAGACCAGUGGCGAAGGCGGAUCUCUGGACAGUUCCUGACGCUGAGGCGCGAAGGCCAGGGGAGCAAACGGG